rnacentral:rRNA from 1 species
UAAUACGGAGGGUGCGAGCGUUAAUCGGAAUUACUGGGCGUAAAGGGUGCGUAGGUGGUUAUUUAAGUUAGUUUUGAAAUUCCUGGGCUUAACCUGGGCUGGUGGACUAAUACUGAAUGACUUGAGUAUAGGAGAGGGUAGUGGAAUUUCCGGUGUAGCGGUGAAAUGCGUAGAGAUCGGAAGGAACACCAGUGGCGAAGGCGGCUACCUGGCCAGAUACUGACACUGAGGCACGAAAGCGUGGGGAGCAAACAGGA